GGUACCCCUGUCCUGCUUGUGGCAGUGUGACCAGAGGGUCUGUCUGCAGCCCAUCCAGCAAGAGCUCAUCCACAAGUGCUCAUUGCCCGCUCUUCCAUAAAAGAUGACUCUUCUCUCUGAAUAUGAAUGUGCCCUCAGUCUCGAGUUUGUGCUGGCCUGAUUGCAGAUGGACAAACUGUUGGGUGAACAGCUGGGUGCCCGUGUCAGAGGUUUCCCUUCAGCUUGCUAAUGAGAAGUUUCCAGUAGAGGAAUCUUCCCAUGGAUGUUGGACACAUGAUAGAUGAAAGUAGCCAGAUAUUGAAGUAACAAGUGGAUUUCACCCACUGCAAGUUUUUGCCUCUGAAGAUGUGCUCAUUAUAGACCAGAAGGUUCAUGCUGAAUCUGCCAUUGCCAUUUUUGUUCUUUUUGUAUUACUGACAAACUGCAGAGAAAACAAGGACUGGAGAGCACACUGGAUCAUGGAGUAAUGGGAUACCCUUGGUGAGAUUGUUAGGACAAGGUUCUUUCCAGCUAACUCAGUGUGGGAUCUCUUGUGCUGUCUUGCAGAAGAGACAAAAAACAAGUAGUAAUCAAAUCAGACUGGAAGUAAUCUUAGCCAUCUGCCCUGUGUCAUGGUGACCAGAAGUUAGAAGAUAAGCAAAUUUACAAACCUAGUCUCAAUAAAGUUGCUUGGUUUGGUCUUUA